AUUUUUUUUCUCCAGCCGUCAUCUUCAUCCGCGCGGUGGACCAAAAAAAUCUGGGCACCAGCCUUACCUGUUUCCACGCGCGUUUCUCUCUCCCUCUGAUUUCCUUGCCGUUCUCUCUCCGUGGAAAUAUCCUCUCCAGCCUUAUCCCGCCGCCCCCGGGCUCAGAUUUUUCACGCCUCUUCUUUAUCUUCUCCCUGGCCUCCUUCAUCUGUUCGUGGCUCCAACGCCCACAUGGAGCACUGGUUCCGGCGCAGCGGAAGCAGCUUCCAUGGCUGCCCAGGCUUUGCUCGGAGCUCCCCUCUCCUGCUGCGCUCGCCCGGCCAUGCUCCACCUCGCCCCAUCGCGACGCUCCAGCUCGCGUCGAGCUCCCCAUCGAACCCCCAUGGCGGCCGAGCUCACAGCCUGCGCGCGCUCCGGCUGCUUUGCUCCAGCGUCGCGCGCUCCGCUCCUGCACGCCGAGCGUCCUCUUCAGCUCCUUGGUCAACCUUCUCUCGCGCUCUGCUCCUCUCUCUUCCUUGCCGCGGAGCUCCUGUGCGCGCGCUGUUCCUGCUCGCCGAGCUGUUCUCUGCCCUGCGCGCCUCCCUCUGCUCACGCGCUCACCUGCUUGUUCACUGCGCGAGCUGCGUCAAGCUUUUUCCCCAGCCGCUCGGUGUCCCCAACCAUAGCCGCGCCCCUGAUCGAGCUCCAGCUCCUGCGCGCCCCGCUCGCCGAGCUCGCCCUGCGCUCGGGUGCAGCCCUGCGCACAGCCGCUUUUCAUCUCCCUGCUCAGCUCACCGCGCUGAACUGUCCAGCGCCGCGCGCGCUUGCCCCUGAUACUUCUCGCGCGAUAUUUGGAUCUCGUAGAUUGGCCCCGUCAUCUUUGUUUCCCUCUGGUCGCAAUAAAAUCCUGUCCCACCGGGUCAUCGGGCGCUGUUCCCAACUCACUAUGGAGUUUGUUAGGCUCGCCAUAUGUUUAAAUGUCGUCCCAGAGUUCGUCGUCAUCUUGCCCAUGCCGUGGCCGCAACUUCCUAUGUCCCUAGUCCACGUCGUCGUUUCGUAUGUCAUCAAGAAACCCUAAGAAUCGGGUAAAGACAAAGCUAGCAGCGUGGUAUUCACCAAGUGCGCGACAAAAAGCUCGGACAUCCUACGCGACUCAAGUUUGAGUUGUCAGAAUUAUUCAGUCGAGGAAAAGAUCUUUAGCAAUCGAUUACCGAAGAAAAGAAGAUCCCUGGAUGACGUCAACCGGAACUCGUAGUCGCGCUUGCGACUAUCGCGUCGAAUUAGUCAGGAAGAUGAGCCAAGUCGACCCCAAGCGUGGGAUAAUCCGCAGGAUAAAGCUGAUGGACCAACCUGAAGAUGGACAAUGGAGCGAGUAUCGGAAUAAAGGCUGAUCGUCAAGUGGACGUCAUCUAACAACACUAACCUAGUGUUACUUAGGUUAUAGUUUUGUGCUGCUGUUGAUGGUGUUAAGUGCCGGUGGGCUCGGCCUUCUUAUAUAAGUAUACC
rnacentral:misc_RNA from 1 species